GUUUAGUGUUUAACCCUUACACAAAAGCAUCCAAUCUUCCCAUCUCCAAACGCUGCGUUUCGGUGGAUCUCUACCCCGAUCACUGUUUGCAGACAAGAAUUCAGUCAUCCCUUCUCCAAACGCUGCGUCUCGUUGAUCUCUGAGUUAAAGCAAAGAAGUGAGAGAGAUAACAUGGUAAUGGAAAUGUGGUUUUCUUUUAUUUUUACUCAGUUUCUUGGUAACCAAACAGAGGGUCGGAUUUCACUUGAGUGGCCGGAUUGCACUUGAGUGGUUUAUGACUAGGAGAAGAUAAUGGAUAUGAAUGUUGACCAUUACAAUGUUUUGGGAUUACCAUCGGGUGAGGAAGGAGCCAAAUUAUCAGAGAAAGAGAUUUCAAAAGCCUACAGAGUGAAGGCUUUGGAGUUGCACCCAGAUAAGAGGCCAGAUGAUCCCCAAGCCCAUGCAAACUUCCAGAAGCUAAAAACCUCCUAUGAGAUUCUCAAGGAUGAAAAAGCAAGGAAGUUGUUUGACGACCUUCUACGAGUGAAACGUGAGCAGUUCCACCGACAAGCACAGUAUGAUGUUAAAAGGAGGAGGAUGGUUUCUGAUCUAGAGGAAAGAGAGCGGGCGGCUAAUGCUCCUGACCCAGCUUCUAAAGCCCGAGAAGAAGAGGAAAGAAUUACUAAGAAGCUAAAAGAAGAAAUUGCUAGAAUACGUGCAAUGCAUGCAAAUAAGGGAGCAUCAGGCUCAAGGAAAGAGGCACCAGGAACAAGAAAGGAGAGUGCAGCUGAUGGUGGAGGUGGUUUGAACAAGGAGAAAGUGCUAAAGGUCUCUUGGGAGAAGGGUGGGGAGGAUUACACUGCAGAGGGAUUGAGGGAGGUGUUUGCAAAGUUUGGUGAGGUUGAAGAUGUUGUUCUCAAGAGUUCCAGGAAGAAAGGUUCAGCACUUGUUGUGAUGGCCUCUAAAGAAGCAGCUGUGGCUGCUACUGGAAAUGUGUGUGGUCAUAUUUCAAAUCCAUUACUUGUGCUUCCACUUGAACCGGCUGUGGUUAUGGAGUUUCCCCCAAGGUCCAUGGAGCCUGAGCCCUCAAGUAAUCUGGUUGGAGCUGGAUAUCAAUCAUUUGAAGAAUCUGUUUUAAAGAAACUUCAAAAGGCUGCAGAAAAGCAGAAGUGACAUGCAAAAUAUAGCAAGAAGAGGUUUCCAAAUUCAUUAGGUAGCUCACAAUCUCUACCAAUUCUAACUACAGGAGAGCAGCAGAGCCUGUAAUUGCUGAAGAAGAUGGCAUUGAGGACAAACCGUCUUAAUAUUUUCAACCAAGAACCCGUUGUCAUUGUCAUCCGCUCUUUAAAUUCUUCGUGUUGCAACUUUUCGACAGAAAGUCAGAUCUGUACCCUAUGAAUUGAUAUUACUGAUUGGGUCUCAUGUAAAAGUGUAUCGGUUUAGAGAUGAGACAUUUCAGGCGAUUUAAAUCUCAACAAUUUGAAAUUUUUCAUAUUUUAAGCAUGCAUUUUAUUUUUUCUUCCC